AUGUCAAUGGAAGGAUGUAAUAGCAGGGAAGACUUGACAAUCCCCGCCCAAAGGGAAACAUGCUUUGCAAAAUUGGUGGAAGCUACUGGGUGUUCAUGCGAAACACAAUGCUUCGUUUUUUUGUUUGACAAGACAACAAUUGAAGGAUACUCCACUCCAGCCAGUCCUGGAAGAGGUGUUUGGUGGCCCCAUUCUUCUGACAGCCAUUCCAAUUCGUGGAAAAGGAACACACUUUGGCACUGGAAGCACCUGGAUUUGAACUUUUUCUCUGCCAUUUACUGGCCAAGUGACCUUGGGUGAGUUCCUCAGUUUCUUUGAGUGUCAGAAUCCUUAUCGAUAAAGUAGGACAAAUAUACCUACUUCCUAGCGUAGAGUCAACCAGAAUCAACUCCUUAAUAAAUUUUGCCUCUUCUGUUCAAAGCUCCCCUCCCCUUCUUUCUGUCAUCUGCCUUUAGUGCACCUCACCCCAGACUGAGUUCAUGACGAUCUCAAGCCACACCUUGCUGUUCUUUUGGCUGUCUAAGCAUGCAGGUUUUACAAAUUAUAUUUCUGUGUUCUGAGCUUGGUGUGGCCAGGACCCGUGAAGGGUGCACAGCAGGGUGAACGGCAUGCUUAUAGAUGUCUUACCUGAAAAUACAGAGGCUAAGGGCGUGCUUCUGAAGCCCGAAACACUGGGUUCCUAUCCCAGGUCCCCCUCCUUCUAGUCGAAUGACUUCGACGAAAUCACAUAAUACCUGGGAGUCCCAGUUUGGUCAUCUGCUAAGUAGAGAUUUCAAGGGAACUUUCCUUAAAUGCUGGUGUAACAUGCUUGGUGCAUCCCAGCUGGUCAGCAGAGGUAGCUAAAAAGGAAAAUUAGCACACACACAAAAUCCUCAUUGGAAUUUGGAAAUAGGAGAGCACCUGUGCCAUUUCUUCCUCUCUCGUCCUCCACUCCUCAUUUUUCCUGGGAAGUUAAAGAAGGAAGAUGUCAACUUGGCAAAGGGACUGCUCUUGGUAGCAGCUUCUGGUUCCCCA
rnacentral:lncRNA from 9 species